GACGAACGCUGGCGGUAUGCUUAACACAUGCAAGUCGAACGAGAAGUUUUUUAUUGACCCUUCGGGGGAUAUAAGAGACAGACAGUGGCGAACGGGUGAGUAACGCGUGGGCAACCUACCUAUCGGAGCGGGAUAGCCUCGAGAAAUCGGGAGUAAAACCGCAUAACACAGCAGAAUCGCAUGACUUUGCUGUCAAAACUCCGGUGCCGAUAGAUGGGCCCGCGUCUGAUUAGCUAGUUGGUAAGGUAAGGGCUUACCAAGGCAACGAUCAGUAGCCGGUCUGAGAGGGCGAACGGCCACACUGGAACUGAGACACGGUCCAGACUCCUACGGGAGGCAGCAGUGGGGAAUAUUGCGCAAUGGGGGCAACCCUGACGCAGCAAUACCGCGUGAGUGAAGAAGGUUUUCGGAUCGUAAAGCUCUGUUAUUGGGGAAGAAACAGUGACGGUACCCAAUGAGGAAGUCCCGGCUAACUACGUGCCAGCAGCCGCGGUAAUACGUAGGGGACGAGCGUUGUCCGGAAUCACUGGGCGUAAAGGGCGCGUAGGCGGUUUUAUAAGUCAGAUGUGAAAGGUACCGGCUCAACCGGUGACGUGCAUUUGAAGCUGUAAGACUUGAGUACUGAAGAGGCAAGCGGAAUUCCUAGUGUAGCGGUGAAAUGCGUAGAUAUUAGGAAGAACACCGGUGGCGAAGGCGGCUUGCUGGGCAGAUACUGACGCUGAGGUGCGAAAGCGUGGGGAGCGAACAGG
rnacentral:rRNA from 1 species